UGAAUGCCUUGGAAAAUGGAGCCGAAGAAGGACGUGAUUACCUGCGAAAAGUCUGGGGGAGCUGGAAGUAAGCUGCGAUCCCGGAAUGUCCGAAUGGGGAAACCUAACAUGAUUUAUCUCAUGUUAUCUAUAAGUGAAUACAUAGCUUAUAAGAAGGGAACCUAGGGAACUGAAACAUCUUAGUACCUAGAGGAAAAGAAAAUAAUAAUGAUUCUGUUAGUAGUGGCGAGCGAACACGGAACAGGCCAAACCGUUCUACGGGGCGGGGUUGUAGGACUUUUGUUAGAGUUACAAAGUUAUUGUAUAGUAGAAGCUAUUGGGAAGUAGCGGCAUAGAGGGUGAUACCCCCGUAUACGAAAUGCAAUAACCUCGAGAAAGUAUCCUGAGUACGGCGAAACACGUGAAAUUUUGUCGGAAUCUGCCAAGACCACUUGGUAAGCCUAAAUACUACCAUUUUACCGAUAGUGAACCAGUACCGUGAGGGAAAGGUGAAAAGCACCCCGAGAGGGGAGUGAAAGAGAUCCUGAAACCAUAUGCUUACAAGAAGGUAGAGCCCGUUAAUGGGUGAUACCGUGCUUUUUGUAGAAAGAGCCGGCGAGUUACUAUUGCAUGCGAGGUUAAGUCGAUAUAGAUGGAGCCGUAGUGAAAGCGAGCCUUAAUAGGGCGUUUAGUAUGCAGUAGUAGACACGAAACCGGGUGAUCUAGCCAUGAGCAGGUUGAAGUUAGGGUAAAACCUAAUGGAGGACCGAACCAGUAUUCGUUGAAAAGACUUUGGAUGACUUGUGGCUAGCGGUGAAAUUCCAAUCGAACCCGGAGAUAGCUAGUUCUCCCCGAUAUAUCUUUAAGGAUAGCGUUAUGUGAAUUGUUGUGGAGGUAGAGCACUGAAUCUAUGAUGGCUGCACCUAGCGGUACUGAUUAGAAUUAAACUCCGAAUGCCAUAACUUGUGCAUAGCAGUCAGAACAUGGGUGAUAAGGUCCAUGCUCGUGAGGGAAACAGCCCAGAUCGUCAGCUAAGGUCCCUAAGUGUAAACUAAGUGUGUAAGGAUGUGGAACUGCACAGACAGCUAGGAUGUUGGCUUAGAAGCAGCCAUCAUUUAAAGAGUGCGUAACAGCUCACUAGUCGAGUGAUUCUGCGCCGAAAAUGUACCGGGGCUUAAGUUUACCACCGAAGCUACGGAUUGUACGCAAGUACAGUGGUAGGGGAGCGUUCCAAGGGUGAUGAAGUCAGACCGUAAGGACUGGUGGAGCGCUUGGAAGUGAUUAUGCCGGCAUGAGUAACGUUUGGAAGUGAGAAUCUUCCAUGCCGUUUGACCAAGGUUUCCUGGGCAAGGUUCGUCCACCCAGGGUUAGUCAGGACCUAAGACGAGGCCGACAGGCGUAGUCGAUGGACAACAGGUUGAUAUUCCUGUACCAGUUAAUUAGUGAUGGAGUGACGGAGAAGGAUAGUAUAUCCCGGGUGCUGGUUGUCCCGGGCUAAGCACAAAGACGGCAACAUUGGCAAAUCCGUGUUGUAUUAACGUUGAAGUGUGAUGGGGAGUGAACGGUUCGCCUAGUAACGAAGUAUAUGACUCCACGCUUCCAAGAAAAGCUUCUAACAUUAAUAAUUAACUGCCUGUACCUAGAACGAACACACGUGGUCAAGGAGAAAAUCCUAAGGCAAGCGAGAUAACUGUAGCUAAGGAACUCUGCAAAAUAACUCCGUAACUUCGGAAGAAGGAGUGCUCAUCUUUGAUGAGCCGCAGUGAAGAGGGAGGGGCAACUGUUUAACAAAAACACAGCUCUCUGCUAAGUCGCAAGACGAUGUAUAGGGGGUGACACCUGCCCAGUGCCGGAAGGUUAAGAGGAGAAGUCAGCGCAAGCGAAGCUUUGAAUUGAAGCCCCGGUGAACGGCGGCCGUAACAAUAACGGUCCUAAGGUAGCGAAAUUCCUUGUCAGGUAAAUUCUGACCCGCACGAAAGGUGUAAUGAUCCCUUCGCUGUCUCGGCUGCAGACUCGGUGAAAUUUUAGUACCGGUGAAGAUGCCGGUUACCC
rnacentral:rRNA from 1 species